GACGAACGCUGGCGGCGUGCUUAACACAUGCAAGUCGAACGAUGAAGCGGUGCUUGCACCGUGGAUUAGUGGCGAACGGGUGAGUAAUACGUGAGUGACCUACCUUUGACUCUGGGAUAAGCCUGGGAAACUGGGUCUAAUACCGGAUACGACCAAUCUCUGCAUGGGGUGUUGGUGGAAAGCGUUAUGGAGUGGUUUUAGAUGGGCUCACGGCCUAUCAGCUUGUUGGUGAGGUAAUGGCUUACCAAGGCGACGACGGGUAGCCGGCCUGAGAGGGUGACCGGCCACACUGGGACUGAGAAACGGCCCAGACUCCUACGGGAGGCAGCAGUGGGGAAUAUUGCACAAUGGGCGCAAGCCUGAUGCAGCGACGCCGCGUGAGGGAUGACGGCCUUCGGGUUGUAAACCUCUGUUAGCAUCGAAGAAGCGAAAGUGACGGUAGGUGCAGAGAAAGCGCCGGCUAACUACGUG
rnacentral:rRNA from 1 species